rnacentral:rRNA from 1 species
GACGAACCGUGCGAACGUUAUUCGGAAUCACUGGGCUUAAAGCGCGUGUAGGCGGGACGGCACGUCGGCCGUUGAAAUCCCCCGGCUCAACCGGGGAAGGGGCGCCGAUACGACCGUCCUGGAGGAACGUAGGGGGAGCUGGAACUUCCGGUGGAGCGGUGAAAUGCGUUGAGAUCGGAAGGAACGCCCGUGGCGAAAGCGAGCUCCUGGACGUUUUCUGACGCUGAGACGCGAAAGCGCGGGGAGCGAACAGG